rnacentral:rRNA from 1 species
UACGUAGGGCGCAAGCGUUGUCCGGAAUUACUGGGCGUAAAGCGUGCGCAGGCGGUUUUGUAAGUCUGUCGUGAAAUCCCCGGGCUCAACCUGGGAAUUGCGAUGGAGACUGCAAGGCUAGAAUCUGGCAGAGGGGGGUAGAAUUCCACGUGUAGCAGUGAAAUGCGUAGAGAUGUGGAGGAACACCGAUGGCGAAGGCAGCCCCCUGGGUCAAGAUUGACGCUCAUGCACGAA